rnacentral:rRNA from 1 species
GAGCCGAAGUGAAUAACGCCCCGCUUCCAGGAAAAGCCUCUAAGCUUCAGAUCACAUUGGACCGUACCGUAAACCGACACUGGUGGGUGAGCAGAUAAUCUGCCAAGGCGCUUGAGAGAACUCGGGUUAAGGAACUCUGCAAAUUGAUACCGUAACUUCGGAAGAAGGUAUGCCUUCGACGGUGUAGGGAUUUACUCCCGAAGCUGUUGAAGGUCGCAGGUAAUCGGUGGCUGCGACUGUUUAUCAAAAACACAGGACUCUGCGAACACGCAAGUGGAAGUAUAGGGUCUGACGCCUGCCCGGUGCCGGAAGGUUAAUUGAUGGGGUUAGCCGCAAGGCGAAGCUCUUGAUCGAAGCCCCGGUAAACGGCGGCCGUAACGAUAACGGUCCUAAGGUAGCGAAAUUCCUUGUCGGGUAAGUUCCGACCUGCACGAAUGGCGUAACGCUGGCCACACUGUCUCGACCCGAGACUCAGUGAAGUUGAAAUCGCUGUGAAGAUGCGGCGUUCCCGCGGCAAGACGGAAAGACCCCGUGAACCUUCACUACAGCUUUACACUGAACUUUGAACCUUUCUGUGUAGGAUAGGUGGGAGGCUAUGAAACUUGGGCGCUAGCUCGAGUGGAGCCAACCUUGAAAUACCACCCUGGGAUGUUUGAAGUUCUAACCUUGGUCCGUAAUCCGGAUUGGGGACAGUGUAUGGUGGGUAGUUUGACUGGGGCGGUCUCCUCCCAAAGAGUAACGGAGGAGUGCAAUGGUACGCUCAGCGCGGUCGGUCAUCGCGCUCUAGAGUGCAAAGGCAUAAGCGUGCUUAACUGUGAGACAGACACGUCGAACAGGUACGAAAGUAGGUCUUAGUGAUCCGGUGGUUCUGUAUGGAAGGGCCAUCGCUCAACGGAUAAAAGGUACUCCGGGGAUAACAGGCUUAUUCCUCCCAAGAGUCCACAUCGACGGAGGAGUUUGGCACCUCGAUGUCGGCUCAUCACAUCCUGGGGCUGUAGCAGGUCCCAAGGGUAUGGCUGUUCGCCAUUUAAAGUGGUACGCGAGCUGGGUUCAGAACGUCGUGAGACAGUUCGGUCCCUAUCUGCCGUGGGCGUUGGAAACUUGAGGGUGAGCUGUCCUUAGUACGAGAGGACCGGGAUGGACGUAUCUCUGGUGUUCCGGUUGUCACGCCAGUGGCACUGCCGGGUAGCUAUAUACGGACGGGAUAAGCGCUGAAAGCAUCUAAGCGCGAAGCCCCCCCCAAGAUUAGGUUUCCCUGGGAACUCGAUUCCCCUAAAGGGCCGUCGGAGACUACGACGUUGAUAGGCUGGGUGUGUAAGUGCAGCAAUGCAUUGAGCUAACCAGUACUAAUUGCCCGUGAGGCUUGACC